UUAUGGGGUGACUACUUAUGGGGUGACAAACUUAUGGGGUGACACUUAUGGGGUGACACUUAUGGGGUGACACUUAUGGGGUGACCCACAUUAUGGGGUGACACUUAUGGGGUGACACUUAUGGGGUGACACUUAUGGG